AAAACAUGCAAGUCGAACGAUCUGUAGCAAUACAGGGAGUGGCGGACGGGUGAGGAACACGUAGGAAUCUACCUUGAAGAGCGGGACAACUUUGGGAAACCGGGGCUAAUACCGCAUAGUACAGAGAUGUUAAAGGGCUAGCAAUAGUCGCUUCGAGAUGAGCCUGCGGUCUAUCAGCUUGUUGGUGAGGUAAUGGCUCACCAAGGCUACGACGGAUAGCCGGUCUGAGAGGAUGAUCGGCCACACUGGCACAGAGACACGGGCCAGACUCCUACGGGAGGCAGCAGUUAAGAAUCUUGCGCAAUGGGGGAAACCCUGACGCAGCGACGCCGCGUGAAGGAUGAAGGCUUUCGGGUUGUAAACUUCGGUAGACUGGGAAGAAGAACUACGUUCGUUGAGGGCGUAGAGUGACAGUACCAGUCUGAAGCCCCGGCUAAUUACGUG
rnacentral:rRNA from 1 species